GGUCAUCUGAUACCUCUGUCAGUAGAGUAUGAGACUCUUAAUCUCAGGGUCAUGGGUUUGAGCCCCAUGUUGGGCA